rnacentral:ribozyme from 1 species
CAAAAUUCGAUACACCUUUUUCGUUUUUUUUUCUAAUUUUUUUCUAAGAAAAAAAAAAACAAAAACAACCA